UGCUACGGCCAUGCCACCCUGAACAAGUCCAAUACCAUCUGAUCUCGGAAGCUAAGCAGGGUUAGGCCUGGUUAGUACUUGGAUGGGAGACUAUCAAGGAAGACCAGGUGCCGAAGGCA
rnacentral:rRNA from 1 species